AAUUUUCUUGAUAUUUCUUCCUUGAACUCCAACAGGGAAUUCAAAACUUUCAAGCAGGAAGGGAAGAAGGGAAGAAGACCAGCCUGGCUAAAUAGAGAGCUUCGGCUGGAACUCAGGAACAAAAAGAAGGCUUAUAAUCUUUGGAAAAAGGGCCUGGCAGAUAAGGAGAGAUACCAUGAAGCGGUGAGGAUAUGCAGGGGGAAAAUUAGAAGGGCCAAGGCUCAAGUGGAGCUCAGCUUGGCCACCAAUAUUAACAAUAACAAAAAGGGGUUUUUUCAGUAUGUUAACAGCAAGAGAAAGGUGAGGGAUAAUGUGGGCCCACUGAUGGAUGAGGUGGGCACCCUAGUAGUGGAAGACACGGAGAAAGCAGAGUUGCUGAAUGCCUUCUUUUCUUCAGUCUUCACUGUUAGGACUACCCCUCAUGAAUCUGUGGCCUUAGAGGCAAGGGGGAUGGUAUGGAGAGAGGAAAUUUUUCCUCUAGUAGAGGAGGGCCAGGUUCGGGACCACUUGGCCAAACUGGACAUUCAUAAGUCCAUGGGGCCUGAUGGGUUGCACCCACGAGUGCUGAGGGAGCUGGCAGACGUUAUCGCUGGACCACUCUCGAUCAUCUUUGAGAAGUCGUGGAGAACAGGAGAGGUGCCUGAGGACUGGAGGAAGGCCAACAUCACUCCAGUCUUCAAAAAGGGCAAGAAGGAGGACCCUGGGAACUACAGACCAGUUAGUCUCACCUCUGUCCCUGGGAAGGUGAUGGAGAGACUCAUACUAGAUGUCAUCUCCAAACAAGUUGAAGAGUGGGGGGUUAUUGGAAGUGGGCAACACGGGUUUACCAAGGGUAAAUCAUGUAUGACCAAUCUGAUAGCCUUCUAUGAUGCCAUAACCGGUUGGUUGGAUGAGGGGAGGGCAGCAGAUGUCAUCUACCUUGACUUCAGCAAGGCUUUUGACACUGUCUCCCAUAACAUCCUCAUUGGGAAACUGAGGCAGUAUGGGCUGGAUGAGGGGACAGUGAGGUGGAUUGAGAACUGGCUGUGUGACAGGACCCAAAGGGUAAUUAUUAAUGGAGCA
rnacentral:lncRNA from 1 species